AAACUAUUUUUAAUAAUGAGUGUUCUAAAAAUCUUCCGAACAUAGUUAUUAUAUGUGUGCUCUUCCCGGUGCCUUGUCAGUCUUCAUACCUUCCCCUGCUGCAUCGUUCGAGCUCAGUAAUUGUGGUGCUGAGGUGUUAUAUUUUUGGGGAUGGAGAGCGAGGAGGAGAGAGUGAAGAGGGCACGUGUGGUGGAAGCCCGGGCUAGAAACAUUAGUCAUAAUGUUCGUUGCACCGAGUGUGGGAGUCAAUCUAUCGAGGAUUCGCAGGCAGAUAUUGCUAUUCUUCUCAGGAAGUUAAUUCGUGAUGAAAUUCAGGCUGGCAAAACUGACAAGGAGAUCUUUAAAAAGCUUGAGGAUGAUUAUGGUGAGACAGUGCUUUAUGCCCCACGAUUUGACAUGCAGACAGCGGCGCUGUGGUUAUCACCGGUUAUAGUUGGAGGUGUUGCAGCAGGAGUAUGGGCUUACAGCAAGCACAGGAAAAAUACUAAUGUGCACGUAAUGGCUCUGAACCUUGUUAGAGGUACUAGAUAUUGGAAGCUGUGUACACCAACAAUUUAUCAAAUGGCCAGGAUUCAAGCCACUGAGGGAGGAACUACAGAGUUUGUCGAGCCCGCGGCCUCAGCUCCUCCACAGUUUCAAGCAGGCACAAACCCAGCAAUCGGGAGUCCCAUGUUCGACUGGCGUGAAAACCAGAUGAAUGCCUCAGUGACUCCUACUAAGGAUCAAGUGCAUAGUGGCAAUAUUUAUGGUAGCCCUCAGAACAAUUCUGCAGGUGGCAUGGUUCAGAAUCUGCCAGUUGGGCAUCCUUGGUCAACAGGGCUGUUUGACUGUCAAGAACAUCAGACAAAUGUUAUUAUGACAACAAUUUUUCCUUGUGUGACGUUUGGGCAGAUAGCAGAGAUACUGGAUCGUGGAGAAAUGAGUUUGACGACAGUUUUACAGCAUGGUAAUAUCAACAAAAUCAAGAAUGAAGCUCUUCAAUCCUUUUGACCAUUUCGAGGUACUUGGUAGAAGCUCCAUAUAGCGAUACGAUCUCUCAUAUCUUUUGCCCAUGUUGUUCUCUUUGUCAAGAGUUUAGAGAGCUGAAAAACAGAGGACUUGAUCCUGCUCCAAAAAGAAAGACUUCUAAUGGUGCCAUGAAACUAAUGUGUAGGAUGGAAUGGAAUACUUGCACAACGACAGGGAAGGCAGUAUCAUGGUCAACAAGAUUGCACUCCUCCCCAAACCAAGCCAUGUUCAAUUGAAAACUGUGAUAUGUUAUGGAAGCUUCUCAAAUUUCUUGGACCA